GGGCGCUUGGUCUAGGGGUAUGAUUGUAAGUUCACCAUGAAAACCUUACCUAGGUUACUCAUCUAACCAACAAUAGUUCGCUUCGCAUCUUCUCGAUACGUAUUUGUGAAAGGUCGUGGGUUCAAUUCCCACAGCGUCCA